rnacentral:rRNA from 1 species
CUACGGGGGGCUGCAGUGGGGAAUAUUGGACAAUGGGGGAAACCCUGAUCCAGCAAUGCCGCGUGUGUGAAGAAGGCCUGCGGGUUGUAAAGCGCUUUCGGUUGGGAGGACUGCUUCUAGCACUAAUAUUGUUGGAAGUUGACGUUACCUUCAGAAGAAGCACCGGCUAACUCCGUGCCAGCAGCCGCGGUAAUACGGAGGGUGCAAGCGUUAAUCGGAAUUACUGGGCGUAAAGCGCGCGUAGGCGGCUAGAUCAGUCGGGUGUGAAAGCCCCGGGCUUAACCUGGGAACUGCAUCCGAUACUGUCUAGCUUGAGUACAGGAGAGGAGAGUGGAAUUCCACAUGUAGCGGUGAAAUGCGUAGAUAUGUGGAGGAACACCAAUGGCGAAGGCAGCUCUCUGGCCUGAUACUGACGCUGAGGUGCGAAAGCGUGGGAGCAAACAGGAUUAGAUACCCUAGUAGUC